AGCAGUUCAUGAUGCUGCAGGCUUUGAUGACAUAGAAACAACAGAAUCUACAGAGAUGAUUAAGGUAAUGUGGAAGUCCAAUUAAUCUUCUUGGAAACAUAUCAUGAAAAGAAAUGCAGAUCAUAAUCUGCAUUCCACUUGAAGCAGGCCAGGGGGGAGGAACCUUGCUCCAUUGGAGGCAAACUUGCUGAUAAAAAAUGUGUUUCAUGUCACAACACCUCAUCUCCUUCCACUUGAAGCAGGAAGUCCAAACUUGCUUACUUCUGGUAUGAUGACAUGCAGUGUAUCCACCCCAAAAGUCUCCUAAACACAGCUGCCCUUGCCCAUGAACAAGACAACCUCAUCCAUAUCAUGAUCAGAACCCCUCUUGCCAAUCUCACUGCCUCCCUCUCUCAUCUCUCCGUUGCUUCCUUUAGAGAAAGAGAAGACACCCAGGGCUCACAUAUGUUCCUUGAUCUUUGAGAGUUGAGAUUUUGAGUUGCCAAAGGGCUCCAAAUUCCUGAAGCACAUUUAGGAAGGUGCUGCAAAAUCAGACAGGCAAACUUUUUGGUGAUUGAGACUCUGUGACUUGUGAAGAACCUGAAAGCUGUAUCAAAAGUCUGAAACUGAAGGAGCAUUUCACUUGCACUCUGAGUCGAGGUUUUCUGCGGUCUGCAACCUUAUUACAGUGGUAGAAUGGAAAGAAGAGAAAGGAGAACUUUGACUGAAAGACCAAGAGUGGAGUUCAUGAGGUCCCAAUCACAAGCCAAUGCCCCAAGAAGAUUUCAUUCAAGCUAUUACACUGUGGAAUCCUUCUUUAUCCUUCUCUGCCUCACAGUCUCACUGCUAAUUCUUCCUCUUAUAUUGCCACCAUUGCCUCCACCCCCUUUCUUGUUGCUGUUCAUCCCAAUAGGUCUGCUUUUUGUGCUACUGUUCAUGGCUUACAUGCCCUCACAAGCCCAGGAUGUCACCUCCCCCUACUUGGAAUGUGCUGAAACUUUCUCAUGCACAUGAAAUUGGCCAACUGCGCAGAUUUUGUAAUUUGUUUCAAAUCUAUUCUUAAUAAUGUUCAAUUGCAGAGUAAA